GAUCUUAAAAGGUAUGUCUGACACAACUUUUAAGAUCAAUUACAAAAGAACUGAUCUUAAAAGUUGUAUCAAACAUAACUUUUAAGAUU
rnacentral:miRNA from 1 species